UACGUAGGGUGCGAGCGUUGUCCGGAAUUAUUGGGCGUAAAGAGCUCGUAGGCGGUUUUGUCACGUCUGCUGUGAAAUCCCGAGGCUCAACCUCGGGCCUGCAGUGGGUACGGGCAGACUGGAGUGCGGUAGGGGAGAAUGGAAUUCCUGGUGUAGCGGUGGAAUGCGCAGAUAUCAAUCGGAAUGCCGAAAGUGAAGACAGCCAGCUGGGGCUUUCCUGACGCUGAGGCACGAAAGCGUGGGUAGCAAACCGG
rnacentral:rRNA from 1 species